CCCAGCUGCUGGGCAGGGCGGCCUUUUCAGCAGUCCCGGGAUGCGGAUUAGGAGUUUGAGCAAUGCCCCUAAACCCUGCACUCUAUUUAAUUUCCUUGAUUUAUGGCAAGGAUUUCUUGCACCUCCAGGGGAGAGAGGCGCAGCUACACAAGUUGCUUCCCAGGCUGAGCCCAGCUUCCCGAGCCUGUUUAUCCCCUCGUCAUAACAACAGAGCCCGUCUCCAGGGGCCCGGGAGGCAGAGCCAGGCCGCAGCUCCUCUUCAUCUGCCAGGAUUUCCUCCGCUGGUGCUGGCUCUGGGUUCCGAUCCUGAAGACGCCCCAGGACGUCAGACCACCAGCCUGGCCGGGAUUCCUCCAGAGGCAACACACGCAAUUCACGCAAGUUCUCUGAUUACUAUCGUGCUGCUAAAUCCUCUGGCCACCCUGGGUCUUUCCAAUCCCCGUGCUAUGAGCCACUUCCUCUCACUCUCCAGCUUCGAUUAAGGGAUACAAAUCAGGGGCAUCGGACCUCACAUCCAGCAGCUCACAGGCGCUGUCAACAUUUGCCAAGAUGCGCUUCUUGGAUAACGUGGAAAACAGACCAUCAGUCCAGCCUAGGUGAGGGAAGCCGGCCAGACAGAUUUCUCCAGGGUAGGAGUUUUCAGAGCUCAAGGGCAUGGUGGCCACGAAAGAGGAGGGUGAGGUCACCUUUAGCAGCAUGUCCUGGACUUGACCACAGAAAUCCACUUCUGGAAGAGCAUUACAAAGUGCUAAGCGCAUUUGGGACAUGUGGACGCGGGGGACAGAGCUUUUCAUUCUCCUGGUGUGGUCCCUCUUUAGCAGCAUGUACCAGGAGGAAAGGGGCCACAGCAGAGUUCUGCAGACGGGCCCUGCAAGGUUUGCGUGGUCCACAGCUGCUGGGCUGCCUGCCACACCUUCCCCGUGGUGCCUACGGUGGCCUGGGACAGCCUCUCAAACAGCCG
rnacentral:lncRNA from 1 species